AAGCAGUGCACAAUGGCUGAAACAAGUGGGUUUGGUUGCCCCUUCCUGAAGUGGGGGACUGGCUGUUUGGUCCAGCACUCCAGAAUGAACAAAGGCUCAAUUUUUAAGUAGUAAAUAAUAUAAAGCAAGAAUAAAAUGAUUUACAAAAUGUUCUUUCAAUGAUGUCAUCUACAUAUGCAAUGUUAACCCCAAAGUUUAUAUUUUGGACUAUAAGUGGACUAUUUUCUUUAACAUUUUCUUGUACAUUGUAAGAAUUUAGUUUCCCGAUGAGAUGAAACUGAAAACAGUGAUUUAAUAUUUCAUCAAACAUUAUUAUGCAAGAAUCAUUGAAGUUUGAUACUCACAAUCAAGAUGAGGGGAGUGUGGUUCACGUCUUGGAGGUGUGUCCAAAAUUUGGAGUGGGGUGACCGAACAUACUGUCGAUAAUCUUUGUGGCGGGGUAGCCUGCUGUAGUUGGCCCUGGACAUCAGACCUUGCUUUCUUUGCUGCCACAUGUUUUUUUUGGUGGUGUGUUACAGAAGUCCGACUUCUGCUGCUCCAGACUUCUUUUGAUGACCCUAGUAUUGAAAGUGAAAUUUUGUUAUGGCCAUUCCUUUACAAACAUACCCUAUACUACAAUGGACACUUUACCUGCUUCCGCAGCAUCAUCAUCAUCAGAUGUCAUGGGAGUUACUGUAGGACGACCAGUACUGCUUUUUUCCAACACUGUAUAACCAAAAUAAAAAAUGUUUUCAUGCUA